AUACGGAGGAUCCGAGCGUUAUCCGGAUUUAUUGGGCGUAAAGCGCGUCUAGGCGGCUUAGUAAGUCUGAUGUGAAAAUGCGGGGCUCAACCCCGUAUUGCGUUGGAAACUGCUAAACUAGAGUACUGGAGAGGUAGGCGGAACUACAAGUGUAGAGGUGAAAUUCGUAGAUAUUUGUAGGAAUGCCGAUGGGGAAGCCAGCCUACUGGACAGAUACUGACGCUAAAGCGCGAAAGCGUGGGUAGCAAACAGGAUUAGAUACCCUGGUAGUCCACGCCGUAAACGAUGAUUACUAGGUGUUGGGGGUCGAACCUCAGCGCCCAAGCUAACGCGAUAAGUAAUCCGCCUGGGGAGUACGUACGCAAGUAUGAAACUCAAAGGAAUUGACGGGG
rnacentral:rRNA from 1 species